rnacentral:rRNA from 1 species
AAGCUCGUAGUUGAAUUUCGGGAUCAAAUUGUCGGUCGUGCCUCGGUACGUACUGGCGUUAUUGGUUCCUCCCUUCUGAAGAACCGCGAUGUCAUUAAUUUGGUGUCGCGGGGAAUCAGGACUGUUACUUUGAAAAAAUUAGAGUGUUUAAAGCAGGCUCGCGCUUGAAUACAUUAGCAUGGAAUAAUGAAAUAGGACGUUUGAUUCUAUUUUGUUGGUUUCUAGGAUCGACGUAAUGAUUAAUAGGGAUAGUUGGGGGCAUUAGUAUUCAAUUGUCAGAGGUGAAAUUCUUGGAUUUAUUGAAGACUAACUACUGCGAAAGCAUUUGCCAAGGAUGUUUUCAUUAAUCAAGAACGAAAGUUAGGGGAUCGAAGACGAUCAGAUACCGUCGUAGUCUUAACCAUAAACUAUGCCGACUAGGGAUCUGAUGAUGUUAAUUUUUUAAUGACUCAUUCGGCGCCUUACGGGAAACCAAAGUGUUUGGGUUCCGGGGGGAGUAUGGUCGCAAGGCUGAAACUUAAAGGAAUUGACGGAAGGGCACCACCAGGGGUGGGGCCUGCGGCUUAAUUUGACUCAACACGGGGAAACUUACCAGGUCCAGACAUAGUAAGGAUUGACAGAUUGAGAGCUCUUUCUUGAUUCUAUGGGUG